GCCUGCCGCGCGCGCGGCCCCGCUCUCCUGCCAGGCCCGCGCGCUCACCGUUGGGGCCGUAGCGCUCCCGCGCCUCGGUCACCUGCUCGGGGCUCAGGCCGCCCUCGGCUGUCACCGAGAAGUGGCGCAGCACGUCGGCGGCCGGGAGCAGUCCCCACCCAGGGGGUGUUCUUCCCCAGAACCUCUAGCAGGGAACCGGCGCAGAAGAAAGUUCAGAAAACCCGGCUGGUUACCCUAGACUCACGCCGUCACCCCAGCAGGAAAUGUGACCAGGGAGCAGGGGUGUGGCUCCCCAGAGGGGCCCGAGGGGUGCGGUGGGGGGCUUUCCCCAGGGCUCCCAGGGGACUGACCCCGGCCCAGGGAGGGCGAGGGAUGGAGGAGCCACUAUUCCAGCGCUCCCCCCGCUCCGGGAGUGCCUGGAGUAGCGGCUUCGGGGCAGAGGAGGAAGUCGCAGGAAGGCAGAAACCACGCGCCAGGCCAAAAGGAGGAGAUAGGAGAACAACCUGAUCGCAGCUCCCUCCAGCUUGACUCAGACAGCCUCCCCCGCGCCUCGGCCUCCACCUGCCUCCCCCGCGAACUGGGCUCUGCGUCUAGAGCCUCAGCCUCUGCCACCCACCAAGGCUGCACCGGGUCACAGAUGCCAGGAUUGAGCCCGCACAGCUGGCUGUUCAAACCCCAAACCCUUCGUGCCCCGCAGCCAGGAGCUUUCCGCCCCUACAACACAGCCCCACCCCGCCGCCCACUCCUGAGAGCCUCAACUUCCAGCCUUGCCUGGAGCGGCUAACCCCCACCCAGAUCAUGCACACCCCAGCUUCUGUGCUCUUCCUCCCGGGACCGGACCGGGAUCUUCCUCCUUUCUGCCUCUCAGAGCCUUCCUGAGCAAAGACAUUCCCUGAGGACUGGCUGGAGAAGGGUUCUUCGUGGCUUUUGGUUGGUGGUCCAGGUGGAUACUCGGUAUCAGCUGCACCCCAGCCUGCUGCUGUGGAGCUAGAGGAAUGCUGGUCUUCUGGCUGUGGCUCCUCCCAGCCUGCUAUUUUAUGUAUUGUUUUCAUUAUUAUUAUUUUUUUCUUUUUUUUCCGACGGAGUCUUCCUCUGUCACCAGACUGGAGUGCAGCGUUGACAUCUCAGCUCACUGCAACUUACACCUCCCCGGUCCAAGUGAUUCUCCUGUGUCAGCCUCCCGAGAACCUGGGAUUACAGAUUUCCAUCACUGGUGAUAUUUACAUUGGAAUUAUGCCCAGGACUUCAGGAACCCAGCAUGGGGGGCUUCUGUCAAUUGCAAGUCCCUGCUGAAAAGCAAAGAUAAAGAUGAAAAUGAAGAUGAAGAUGAAGAGAGGGAAGGCCUCUCUUCCCUCCAGAGGCUCAGAGUCUGCGGUGGUGGGUAAGCAGCAGGUACCUAGUCAUAUGUGCUAGCUGAGAGCACUCUCUACGGGAACAGAUCUGGGAUGAGAUCCUUGCCAGUUACCAGCUGUGUGAUCUCUGGCAAGCUACAAAGUAUAUGUGAGUGUUGGUUUCGUCAUCUGUAAAAUGGAAGUAAUAAUACAUCCCACCUCAGUGGGGUUUGUGAGUUUGAGAAGAGACCUGACAGUGGCAGCUGGCAGUGCAGCAGAGAUGACAGCCCUUUUGCUAAUGGAAGCCUGAAGCUGCUCCAGGUAGCAAAAGCGCCAGGCCCGGUGCAUGAAUCAUGAGUGGGCUAAUCCGUUGACAGCGAAGCCUUUCUCUCUGCUGGAUACUGGCUUUCCCAGCUUCCCUGGCAGCUAAGGGUGGCCAUGUGACCCUCCUCUGGCCAUUGAGUUAUAAGAGGAAGUCUGCUGGACUUCCUCAAUAAAAUACAGAGGCGGAAGCCUUUGCUUUCCCUACUUCCUGCCUGUGAUGAGCUUCUGAAGCUGAAAGUCCAGCAGCUGUUUUGUGCCCACGAGGCCUCCAGCUUGAGGAUGUAAAACCCUCACACGGAGGAUGGCCGAGCAGGGGGAUGGGGGCAUUGCUGAGCUGCAAAAUAGCCUGAGAUUACUGACUUCCAGACUUCUUGUUCUGAGAGUAUCUUCUUCUUAUUAUUAUUAUUUUGAGAUAGGGUCUCACUCUGUCUCCCAAGCUGCAGUACAGUGGCACAAUCUCGGCUCACUGCAACCUAUACCUGCUGGACACUGGCAGUCCUCCUAUCUCGGCCUCCCAAAGUGCUGUGAUUACAGGCAUGAGCUUCUGAGCCUGGCAGAGAGAUGAUCUUAAAAGCCUUUAUUUGCUGGGCCUAGUGGCUCAUGCCUAUAAUCCCGGCACGUUGGGAGGCCAAGGCAGGCGGAUCACAAGGUCAGGAGUUCGAGACCAGCCUGGCCGAUAUUGUGAAACCCCAUCUCUACAAAAAUACAAAAAAUUGCCAGGCACAGUGGCUCACACCAGUAAUCCCAGCACUUUGAGAGGCCGAGGCAGGCAGAUCAUGAGGUCAGGAGAUCGAGACCAUCCUGGCCAACAUGGUGAAAACCCGUCUCUACUAAAAAUACAAAAAAUUAGCUGGGCGUGGUGGCGCGUGCCUGUAGUUCCAGCUGCUCGGGCGGCUGAGGCAGGAGAAUUGCUUGAACCCAGGAGGCGGAGGUUGCAGUGAGCUGAGAUCGUGCCACUGCACUCCAGCCUGGCGACAGAGCGAGACUCCGUCUCAAAAAAAAACAAAAAACAAAAAGUUAGCCGGGUGUAGUGGUGUGCACUUGUAAUCCCAGCUACUCGGGAGGCUGAGGCAGGAGAAUCACUUGAGGUUGCAGUGAGCUGAGAUUGCACUACUGCACCCCAGCCUGGGAGAAAGAGUGAUACUCCAUCUAAAAAUAAAGCCUUUAUUAUUCAAAGCAAUUGGGUUCUGGGUGGUCUACUCCUUCCAGCUGAACACACCCGAGUGCUAUAGACCCUUAGCACCCCGCUUGGCACUCGGGAAAUGCUCAUUAAAUACCAGCUGUGGCAUCACAGAGAUGUCACAGCCUGGUCGCCUUUAUUUCUGUGCUCUGCAGGUAGACAGGAAGUGAGGAGGGGAGAGUCUGCGGUGUGGGUGACCCCACCUACCUUUCCACUCUAUGGCUGGGUGUGGUGGAGCCACGGCACCUCACAGGGUACAGAUGGCUUCCGGCACAAGAUCCACUGAAGAAACCAAAUUCUACUGGGCUCAGCGAGGCUACUGUAACUGACAGGUGCCGGCAUCGUGCCCCCACCUCUUCCUGGAGGUUUCAAGGGUAAUUCCGCGCACUCCCAGGCCUCAUGCUCCAACUCUGGAAUGGUGGAGGAAACAUCGUGGUGUUGUGUUUGAGUCAGAAUUGCCAGAGGUGCUCGUUACCCCACUGGAUGGAGCAGCUGAAGGAGAGCUGACAGGUGGCGGGGCUGACCCCACACUAGAGGUUCCUUACUGAGAACAAAGAAAGACAAAGGGAGAAACUUGGCCUCCGUGACCAUUAUAGUCUUAAUUUAUGAAGGAACACUGUAUGCCACAAUGGACCCUCCUGUGACUUCAUUCAGUGUUCUAGCCCAAAGUUAACACAGGCUUGGGAGGGAGAUGACGUCUGAGGAGGUGGCAGCAUUCAUAUGAAAUGUCAGUGGAGGUUACACCGGGCGUGGUGCCUCACGCCUGUAAUCCCAGCACUUUCAGAGGCUGAGAUGUGCAGAUCACCUAAGAUCAGGGGUUUGAGACCACCCUGGCCAACUAAAAAUACAAAAAUUAGCCGGGCAUGGUGGCAGGUGCCUGUAAUCCCAGCUACUCGGGAGGCUGAGGUAGGAGAAUUACUUGAACCAGGGAGGCAGAGGUUGCAGGGAGCCAAGAUCAUGCCAUUGCACUCCAGUCUGGGCGACAGAGCGAGACUCCAUCUUACAGUCAGGGACAGAGCCACCAAGAGGAAUACAUUUGGAGUCUUGGCCCCUAAGGCUUUCUUUUUAGCUUCUCAGUUUGCAAAUAUUCUGUAGUUUUUGUUUUAUUUUGUUUUUCUCAAGGAGGUAGAGCUGUGUAGAGGUGGGAGUUAGGGGCACGGGCCCUGCUCUCGAUUUGCCUAUCUGAGCAAUGGGAACAAUGCCCAGCUCCACCUCCCCUGAUGUUGCAUGGGUCUGUGGGGCGAGCUCAGAGUGCAGAGCCUGUUGGUGAAAAUGCAUUGUUCCAGGCGUCCUUGGCGCCAGCCAUGUAGCUCUGCCCUCAUGCAGAGAAGGGCACCUGAGUGCGCAGAUGAGGAAUGGGAGGGCCUUGAGCCAUCUUGCCCAGUCCGCGAGGUGCUGAUGGAUGCAGCGUGCAAUGCAUCAGACAUCUCAGAGACAGAGAGACGCAUCGCCAAUCCAGCACCCUGCAGAGCUAUCAGGAAGCCGAUGGUGGCUCUGCACCUCCCCCUGUGAAUGGCAAGGCAGUAGACCCCAGGGUGUUUGACCGGGAAAGGGCCUCUGAGUCACCUCCGCCCACCUCCCCCUUGUACAGUGGGAGAUGAGGCCAGGGAGGCUGGGACGGCUUCCCAAGGUGACAGGCGGGGCCAUGCAGAGAGGAAAAGACUCAGCAUUGAAGAAACAGGCAGCGCUGUCGGAAGGACGCCAGUGAAGGUGAGUGAAAACAGUGUACACUUGUGCAGGCAUUUUCUACAGUAAACACCCAGGGAAGAGCCACAGAGGAGGGCCCACAUGGGCUGGGGGCACUGCCGCGGUGGCCACACUCUUGCUCACCUGCAGUGACACCAGGACGUGGCCUCAGCUCAACCAGCGCGCACAGUGGAGAAGCACCUGGACCCCAGAUGCACGGGCCACGGGCUGUGGCUUGGGAUGGGAAAGGAUCUCCCUAUCAAUAUAAUAAAUGUACAGGCCGGGCAUGGUGGCUCACGCCUGUACGCCCACCACUUUGGGAGGCUGAGGCAGGUGGAUCACUGGAGUCCACUUCUAGACCAUCCUGGGUAACAUAGUCAGACCCCAUCUCUACAAAAAAGAAAGAAAGAAAAAUAGAAAAAUUGGCUCCAUGUGUUGGCAGGAACCUGUAAUCUCAGCUACUCAGGAGGCUGAGGUAGGAGGAUCACCUGAGCCUGGGGAGGUCGAGGCUGCAGUGAGCUGUGAUGGCACCAGCCAGGGCCACAGAAUGAGACCCUAUCUCAAAACAAAAACAAAAACAAAACCCAGAAAUGUAUUAGCUGGGGGUGCCCUUAGCUGCCUAUUAAACUAACAGAAGGUAAAUGAAUAUAUUAAAACCCGGAGCUGUAGGGCGGGAAGGAAAGAAGACUGGUCAUCUCUUGGACACUCUGGCCCCAUGGAACACACUGCACAUCCUUUGAUCUGGUCUUUCUUGAAUUCCUUUUCUUUUUGAGACGGAGUCUCACUCUGUUACCCAGGCUGGAGUGCAGUGGCGAGAGCUUGGCUCACCGCAACCUCUGCUUCCCGGGUUCAAGUGAUUCUUCUGCCUCAGCCUCCUGAGUAGCUGGGAUUACAGGCACCCACCACUACACCCAGCUAAUUUUUGUGUUUUUAGUAGAGACAGGGUUUCAUCAUGUUGAUCAGGCUGGUCUCAAAGUCCUGACCUCUAGUGAUCUGCCCACCUUGGCCUCCCAAAGUGCUGGGAUUACAGGCGUGAGCCACCGUGCCCAGUUGAGCUGGUCCUUUUCGUUGUUGGGUUUUUUGUUGUUUUUUUUUUAAGAUAGAGUCUAGCUCUGUCAGCCAGGCUGGAGUGCAGUGGCUCAAGUGAUUUUCCUCCUCAGACUCCCGAGUAGCUGGGAUUACAGGCACAUGCCACCACACCUGCCUAAUUUUUUGUAUUUUUAAACGGGGUUUCACCAUGUUUGCCAGGCUGGUCUUGAACUCCUGACCUCAUGAUCCACCUGCCUCAGCCUCCCAAAGCCUGGGCUUACAGACUCAAACACUGCCCGGUCCUGAGCUGGGCCUUCUAACCUGAGACAGUACCAACUCUCUGCCCCUCUCUUCUUCCUGCUCUUCCCGUCUUCACUCCCCGACCCUAGUCAACGAAGACAGCGUCUGCUGCCCAGAUGAUGUUUGAGCAAUCUCCCCAGUCCUGACCCCAGGCUUGGUCUGCUCUGGAGCUUUCCCUCCCACCCAGAGCCCAGAUCUCAGUAAAGAUGCAUCACAGAGCCCUGAACGCCAGCCCCGGGGCUGAACAGCAAGGCGCUCACCAGCAGCCAAGGGUAGACACUGGAGCCCUGCCGCUCAGCCCAGCCGGGGCACCAGGAAGCACAUGCCCAGCACCCGGCCAGCAGACAUGGCCUGCACAUCAAGGGGAGAGCCCUGGGUGCUGCCACCGCCUCCUCACUUAAACUCCACCAGGGCGUCGUCGAAACUGGAGAAACCCCAGAGGCAGACAACCCUGCCUGGGAACACCUGUCCUGCCCGCUCCACUUGGGAGAGAGGCUCUGUCUGCCCUCCGGUGGGGGGGCCCUUGCAGGCUGCAGGAAUUCGAGGUGUGGCUGCUCAAGAACAUGGCCGGACUUGGGCAGGGGGUGGGUGGUGGAAGAGCCCCUGCCCGCUGCUGGAGAAGGUCCCUGGCCUCAGCUGUGGCCCUAACUGGGCAGGGACACCUUGGUCCUAAGCAGACAGUCUCCUACCUGUCAACCUCCGUGCAUCCACAGUGCAGUUCUCAGGUAGGCUUCCCCUAAAUGAGGGUCUCCCCCAUCCUCCACCACCUGAUGGGGACGUGGGGCCAGGCCCGCCUAAGGGCUCUGGGCUUGCCCCUCCCCCAACUGCGCCUGGCAAGUCCCCCCCACCUUCCGGCUGUCUGCUUUUGUGAGGCAUCUCCUGUUACAAGGGAACCAGAAGCACCUGCUCUAGGAUGUUCAGACCCCCACCCAGCGCUGGGACAGACACACAGACACGUUGUGAUCAGACACAGAAGUGGCCCUGGACGCCCUCUCUAGUCAGCUCCCCCACACCUCCCAGCUGUCUGCCCUCAUGCCCCCAGCUGGCACAAGACUGGCCUGGAAGCCAGGAGAACCAUUCCAGGGUACACCUGGGGCCCCAACCUACUGUGCAAAUCCCAGCAAACCCCAUCCGCCUCUGGCCCUCAGCUUCCUCUCUUGCAUGGAGGCUUGGGGGAGGUGUACUGGGGGGACCAGCUGGCCUGUGAGGCUCUUUCCCUCCGGUUCCAGGCCUGUGGUGGUCCACAUUGUCUUAGGGGAAGACUUUUGCCCAGAGGAAACCUUCCCCAGAGAAUCAGGGACUGCUCUGGCCGCGAUGGCCACACACAGGGCCUCCCAAGGAGACAGAGCCUGCCUUGCCAGUUGCUGAGCCCUGGGGAGUCCUGGCCUUCUCUGCCUCAGUGACCCUGUUAAUACAGCCAGGCCUGGACAAGGAGGGUCUCACUAGCUCUUUGAGCUCCCCAACUCCAGGGACUCAAAAACCUCCCCGGCUGCACCUCUGACCUCCUCAAGGGCUGCCAGGACCACCAGAACCCCUGGGACCGCAGCCCGUCCCCUACUUCCAGCCUUCACGCCUCCACCCAGCCUUCACCCACCACCCCCCUGCAGGUCUCUGGGUUCACCCUCGGCCCUUUCUCUAUGUUUACUGAAGGCAGAUGUGAGGAGUGAGUGGGGGAGGCCAGCAGGAAGCCAGCCACACUCUGGGAUCUGCCAGAGAAAAAGAAGCCCCUGAAGGUCCAGCAGAAGCUGAGCUUGAUGUGGUGGAGGAGGCUGCUCUCUUUCCAUUGCAAGGGGCAGAAGCCUGAUUGCAAUGGGUUGAAGCACAAGGGGAAAAUUAUUGGCUUAUUUCACGGAAAAGUCCAGGGAAUGGAUGGCUUCAGGAUUGGCAGGAUCAAGGGCUCUCAGGUGACAUCUUUAAGAAUUUACCUCUCAGCUGGGUGCAGUGGUUCCUGCCUGUAAUCCUAGCACUCUGGGAGGCAGAGGCAGGAGAAUCAUUUGAGCCCAGGAGUUCAAGACCAGCCUGGGCAACACAGCAAGACCCCAUCUCAGCCACAUCCAACAUCCCACUUGAGUGACCCCCCCCCCACCCCGCCAGGAGAUUCUGUUUGCCAAUGGUUUAAUCAAAAGCCUUUGAUUUGAGGCUAGACGUGGUGAUUCACGCCUGUAAUACCAGCAUUUGGGGAGUCCAAGGUGGGUGGAUCACCUGAGGUUGGGAGUCGGAGACCAGCCUCACCAACAUGGAGAAACCCUGUGUCUACUAAAAAUACAAAAUUAGCCAGGUGUGGUAGCUCAUACCUGUAAUCCCAGAUAGUGGGGAGGCUGAGGCAGGAGAAUCGCUUGAACCUGGGAGGUGGAGGUUGUAGUGAGCCAAGAUAGUGCCAUGGCACUCCAGACUGGGCAACAGAGCAAGACUCCAUCUCAAAAAAAAAAAAACCAUCUUUGAUUUGAUUCUCCUAAUGGGCUCUCAAAGGAUAUGGGUUCUGCGCCCAUCCCUGGACCAGUCCCUCAGAUGCUCCAAUUGGUUACAUGGAGUCAUACGCUCUGAGGCCAGUGCAGGAGGUCAGGGGAGGGGGUACCCAAAAGACAGUCAAGGUGCAGACGUUGGAAGAAGGGGUGCUGAGCAGGCAGGAGCAGGAUGGCCACUGCUGCUGGCUGGGAUCUCCUUCUGUGGGUACCAAGUGGAGUCCUGCUCUGUAUGAGCUGUGGUGAGCUCCAGAGUGGAGCAAAGGAACCACCAAGUGCCCGGUCCCAGGCCAGCCCCAAGCACCAAGUAGCAUCCACAGCUGUGGGGGUGUGCUGAAAGCAGAGCAGCCCAGAGACUCAGCCUCUCAGACGACGCAGAGGCUGGGAGAGGGCCUGUGGCCUCAGCAGACAAGUCCUUCCUGGGUGGCUGGGAGAUUCUUAAGGGAAAUGACAUUUGACCCGUAUUCUUAGAAACAGGAAGUGGUAGCUUCCUGAGAGCAAACUGACCUCAUCCCUGAGCCCUGAGAUGGCCCCUGGGUCCAACCACUUCCAAAGUGAUGUGGCCACCUCUCACGCAGGGAAGCAUUGGGGCCAAUCCACAUUUAUUUACUUAUUUAAUUUAUUUUUUUGAGACAGAGUCUUGCUCUGUUGCCCAGACUGGAGUGCAGUGGUGUGAUCUCAGCUCACUGUGACCUCCACCUCCCGAGAUCAAGCGAUUUUCCUACCUCAGCCUUCUGAAUAGCUGGGAUUCCAGGCAUGCGCCACCAUGCCUGGCUAAUUUUUUGUACUUUUAGUAGAGACGGGGCUUUGCCAUGUUGGCAACACUGGUCUCAAACUCCUGACCUCUGGUGAUCCACUCGCCUUGGCCUCCCAGAGUGCUGGGAUUACAGACCUGAGCCACUGUGCCUGGCUGCUUUGUUUAUACUUCUGUUCUCAAAGUGAAUCAUCAUCUGUUUAA